rnacentral:rRNA from 1 species
UUAAAUUGAAGAGUUUGAUCAUGGCUCAGAUUGAACGCUGGCGGCAGGCCUAACACAUGCAAGUCGAACGGUAACAGGAAACAGCUUGCUGUUUCGCUGACGAGUGGCGGACGGGUGAGUAAUGUCUGGGAAACUGCCCGAUGGAGGGGGAUAACUACUGGAAACGGUAGCUAAUACCGCAUAACGUCGCAAGACCAAAGAGGGGGACCUUCGGGCCUCUUGCCAUCGGAUGUGCCCAGAUGGGAUUAGCUAGUAGGUGGGGUAAC